rnacentral:sRNA from 1 species
AAAAAUUGGAAAGGUCCACGCGCUCUC